rnacentral:sRNA from 2 species
GAGAAAACGUUGCCGCAGGCAACGACCCGAAGGGUGAGGAGCGGAGCGACGAAUAAUCCUUCCCCCACCACCA